ensembl:lncRNA
GCACCACUAUCAGAUUCUUGCCACAGUGGGAGACCUGGCGCUCCAUGGCAGGGCAGAAGUCCUCCUUCACACCUCUGGUGAUGCUCCGAGUGACCGUGUGGUGCCCCAAGGAAGGAGCUGAACUCUGAUCACAACAUUUGCCACUCAGCUGGAGGAACCACCCAAAAGGAAACUUCUUAAAGGUGAAGAUGUUGAAGAUCAGCUGAUCCAGAAGCUUGUACAUUUUUCUAUAAAGGGCCAGACUUACUUCCUGCCAUGGUUUGUUUUGUGCCAAUGCUAGAUCGAUGUUUUCAGGACUAUACUUUCAUUCUGUUCCCCUGUAUUAUCACCCAGUUACAUCUAUUGCUGUGAUGUUUAAGCACUGGGCAGAUGCAUGGCUCAUUGCUCACUGCUGUUUCUGGGGACCUGUUAUGUCUAAGGCACUCUACUGCGUAUCCAGAUAGAUGGAUUGUGCACCCUGGUUUUUGCUCCAGCAGGGAAAUGUGAUUAGCAGCUAUAUCCUGCUGUGUGAAAUCAGAAGUGGCUCACACUCAUCUCUGCAUUGGGAG